GAGAGAAAGAAGUGGAGUAUUUUUUUAAGGGGCUCUUGUGGCUGGGGAAGUUCCAGUCAGUCCAAAUUAGAUGAGUUUCUAGGUGUCUGCCUGGGUAUCCACCAGGAAAAUGCUGUUUCUGCCUUUAGACCCUUCCCUUCCAUCCAUCUCUGCACUCCUGGUGGUCUGUCCUCACCCACUCUCUGUGAUUUUCCUUCUCCCAGGCCUCCUCUUCCCAAGAUUCCUGAUCCUUUCUCUGCACUACUUUGCUCACCACUCCCUCCCUGCCACCCCCAGGAGGGAAACUCCUCUGCUCUGAAAGCAGGAACUGGCACUGGAGGCAAGCAGCACUGAGCAACCCAAGGGAUGUGGGAGAGGGCCAGCUGGAGGCUGCCAUGGCAACAGCUGGAUCUCCUUCAUCCCUCUCACCCUGCUUCCCUGCUGAUUACACUGAAACAACAGAAAAAAUAACAGUUGCUGGGAAUCAAAGAACCCUCUUCCUCCACGAAAUCACCUGGCCUCUUUCCACGCUUCCCAAAGCAAAUCUCUGGCAUCCUUGCUGCUGGUACAACAAUCUUGUGACUCUUCCUUGUACAUGGCAAGCAAAAAAGGGUUUGGUUUGCUUGCCCUUGAUGGGAAGACCUUUCUGUGCGCUUCUCCUGUGAUCUUUGAGCUCAGUGACAGAGCUGGGGCCAAAAAAAUAUCUCUGGAGGUGACUAUGACUCUUUGGGGGCUGUUCCAUGAGAAGAAUCCCCUGGGAGGAUCCAGGGUUUGGACCCAGAAGAGGUUUUGGUGGUGCUGCUUCUCCUGUGACAGCUCAGAGGAGAAGCAAGCCCAGCUCUUUGUCACAGGUCAUCAAUUCUCAGAACCUUACCUGUGCCCACAGACAUGUUCAAAUCUACCUGGUAUCACCCAGCACAGCUGGAACUUAACUAAACAAUGCAUCUCUCAGGACAAAAAGAGAGAAAUCCCGGCGGUGGGGGUCAGUUUGCUGGGAGUAGAGACAUCAGUCAGACGCAGAACGUUGGCCAAGCGCUUCCUCGGGUGCUUCACUCGGGGAACCUUGGGGGAAAAGCUGAGUCCCUCCAUCUGCUCGGUGAGAAAUCGUGCUGAGAGAGACGAGGAGCCUGGCUCUUCCCAAAGAAACAGCCCCUCCUUGCUUCCACUCAAGCAGUGCUUUGCCAGAAAGACAUGGAAUUGAUGAAGAAUGCAAAAACUCACAGCUUGUUGCUCCCUCCUCAUCCCCCCACUGAGAAUGAAAACUUGAUUUUUCCAGAAAACUUUUUUUUUUUGGGUUUGUUUUUCUGAAAUAUUUAUUUAUUUAUUCAUUCCCGUGCUUAGUAAUUAAAACAUUUUCUGGCAGGAAAAAAAUAAAAAAUAAAAAAGAGAGAAAUACCCAAAACGUAACCACCGUGCAUUACCAGAGGAAGAGAAAGGCUGCAAUUGCCAUAAAUAACACAGUGGGUCAUGAAUAAUUCAAACCAGAAUAUGGUUGUUAUUGUAAGGAGUUAUCACAGCUAAUUAUAGCCCAUUGCCAUCGUUCCCUCCAAAGCUCUGGCAUUGAUCACUGCAGGACAUGCCAAAUAUUUCACUAAAACAAAAUAUUGUGCUGGAUGCUUCCCUGUGGAUCAGCACGUCUUUCACUGAGAGAGUUUAUUGUUCUUCAGGGGUUUUUGCCCUUGGAUCAUGGCUGGAAGGAAAUUAAGAAGACCUUUCACUUAACCAAAUUGUUCAUCUCCAUCAGUCAAUUGGUCCCUGCAGACCCUUCCCAAAGUUGUUC
rnacentral:lncRNA from 1 species